GAGGCCACCUGCUCUGUACAUCCAGGGUGGCAAGGGCUACCGUUGCGGACAGGGAAGCCGAGGCCAGGAGAGGUCGAAUCUAGUUCAAGUCGCUCAACCUGUUUCUUGGUUAAAGCCAGAGUUCUGAAUUAACUCUGUAUUUGUUGUUGAGAGGCCCACAGUGAGGGGUCCAGAUCUCCCAGUCACCUUUUGGAAGGGCAAGAACCAUGUCAUCAGGCCUGCCGUCUCCCCAUCGCCACGGGCUCGUCCCCCAUCAUACUGCGUGACCUACCCUGCACAGAGGAAGAGGCUUUUGAGAAGGCCUUGGAGGAUGGGAGCAUUUCAACACAUGGAGGUUUGAGAUCAGAAGGGAGAAGGAAGACAACAAUGCAAAAGGGGAUGUUUUUGAGAAGUGUUGCUUGAUGAUGCAUUUUAGGUUUCACCAUGUUGGUCAGACUGGUCUCGAACUCCUGACCUCAGGUAAUCCACCUGCCUCAGCCUCCCAAAGUGCUGGGAUUACAGGCAUGAGCCACCACACCUGGCCAAUUAGGCCUCAGUGUGCAGACAUUAAUCAGUGGUUUUAAUGUCAACAUUUUACCUUUAUUUAUUUUCUUCCUAACCUAUAUGUCAUUAUUGGCAUUGUUUUAUUGCUGUAUACAUUUUGCACUCCAGAUGACAUUAUUAUUUCUGUUUUUACAUAGCUGAUAAUCAUUUUCAUUUACCUACAUGUUUACCAUUUAAAUUUUCCUUUAUUCUUUCUUCUCUCUCUGACCAUUCAUCUGGGACCAUUUUUUCUGCCUGAAGAAAAUCCUUCAGGCAGAAAUUUCCUUUAGUGUGGGUCUACUAGAAACAAAAUCUUUCAGUUUUUGUUUGAAAAUAUCUUUAACUUUAUUCUUUUUUUUUUUUUUUUUUUUUGAGACAG